CGCACUGGAUGUUCUUGUUGUAGCGACAUCCGAAGGUACCGGGAGGGUAGUUUCCGUUGACGUUUUUGAGGAAAGAUCGUGGAGAUAACAGAUUUUUCCAGUUAUUUCCAAGCAUCUUACCAAUAUCCACGUCCCGUCAAUCUGGGAUUUUCCAAUAUUUAUUUUAUUUUUGGAAAUCGUGCAAUAUGUGUUUAAGUGGAUUGUUGGGGAACAUGUGCCUUCAUUGAAUCAGUUCCGAUAUCAGUCUAACACGAUCCAAAGUGGCAGCUUCUCCAGCUCAAAGAUGAAGAUUUUCGUGCUCCUCCUGUUGGUGGCUACCGUACUGGUCAGUGUUGACAGCGCCAAAAAGAAUGCCACAGAGUGGCAGAACCCUUCCGAGCUCGGAUACGACAAGCCCUCGAAACAGGAUCGCACCGGAAUCAAUGGUCAAGGACGAGCCCCUCAACCUGCUCCAGUUAAAACCACGAAAACUACUACCACGACGACGACUACGAAAAAACCUGUCGCACCGAAAGUCGACCCGAAAAAACCCGUCGCACCGA